UGGUGUGGGAGGGGUUAAAACGUCUGGUGUGGGAGGGGUUAAAAUGUCUGGUGUGGGAGGGGUUAAAAUGUCUGGUGUUUGUGGGGGGCUAUAGCCUCCUGAAGUUGGUGGAGAGUUGUAGUAGCCACCGCCACUUGGAGGAGUUGAGGGUGUUGAUGGCCGGGAUGGAGUUCCAGGGUCAUGUGAUGGAGUUGGGUUGUGAUAUGGUGGGGUGCCACAGUUGGAAGGUGGUGAUGAUGGUGUUGGGUGGUGGCUUCUAUGAGAGGGGGGUCUGUGAGAGUCACCAUGUGAUGGUGGAUUGGAAGGAGUACUGUGUGG
rnacentral:lncRNA from 1 species